CCGGCAUCUGCAUUUAUAGCUUCCAUGACAUAGACUAGGCCAGAGCAAAAAAACAAUCUUGUUCUAUAGAACAGCUCAGGAUGGCUCAAAUAUAAGGCCCUCUCAUAGCUGUUUGCAACCCAAGUCUAAAUUUCAGCUUUCUCUUUUAGUCUGUGGGCUCAUUUACUGGCUCUGUAUCCCUGGUUUGGAUGUAACUAUGGGUUGGCUUUGCAAGUUUCAAUAGGGAAUGGCACAAGAAUGAAAAUAGAAAUGCCUGAGCUGCCAAAAUGCAAGCCUGGAUCUCAUAGGACACUGCAUUAGGUGCCAAAAGACUCCUCCGGGGAUUGGCUUGCCACGCUCCACAUCCUCACACUCUGCUGGGAUUGCAACUGUCUGCCCGGCCCCAGCUGGUGGCCCUGCACUGGGAAGGAGUCAGAUCCUUUCCAUCUGGACAACUGACAGGAGAUAAGAGAAAGACGAUAGGACCAUCUCAGCCUGAAUGGUGACACUUGUAACUUCUCAUAUUCCACGGCAAGAACUAGUCUUUUGGUCCUACCUAGAUGCAGACUCUACCACAUACAUCAACAAGUAGGUUUCUAUUUUUCCCCAAUUCUGUGACCUUUUUUCAUUCCCUUUUUACUUCUUGAGUGGCUACUUCCAUAAAAAGGAGUAGAAAAGUUAUUAUGAAAAAUCUUACAUGUCCCUUUAAGAUGUAGCCUGAUGUGUGGAAAUAUACUAACAUACAUUUGAUGUAGAUAUCAUUAUCAUCUCAAUAACUUGUUCCCAUUAUCUGUGAGAAAAUGCAAA
rnacentral:lncRNA from 1 species